rnacentral:lncRNA from 10 species
AAACACAUUCCUUUUUUAUAUUAACUAGCAUUUUUUUCGAGUUUCUUAAAGCUUUGUUUGCAACUCUGGAUGAUUUAUGUGGGACAUGAUAAAACCAAUCUCCACACAGGCUAAUUUGAGACCUGGCAUCAUUGUCUCUCUCUGAACAAUCUGGAAGCUUUUUUAUGGUAGUGAAUUGCUCAUUUGGGGUGCGAGGAUUGAAGCAGGCAAGUGUCUGGGUCAUUAUGUGCUCAGCCAUGUCUUACAUAGGUGUUUGGAUUUGUAUAGCACUGGUUAAUCUGUAAUGUGUUUUAAUUUAGAGACAUAAAUUCUGGCCAGAAUUCUAUGCUUUAAUUAAAUAGUGUCAAGGGAUUGAUCGCAGCAUAUUGAUCCAUAACUGAACAUUUUAUCCAUGAAGUCACAGGUCCAGUGAGUCAUCAUUGCCUAGAAUACCCUACUUCAAACAAUGAAACUCACUUUCAAUCUAUCAUCAUCUUUCACUCUUCAGUGAAACCCCAUGUAGCUUCCAGAUGUGGUUUCAGGAUUUCUCUAUAUUGUUGGAGAGAACAAGAACCUGAGACCUGCCGAACAGCAGGUGCCAAAGAUGCUGCUGUAACACCACAGCCCUCCCAUCUUCCAUCCUCCACUGGCGCUGAGUGGCAGUCCCAUGUGACAGGAAGUGGAGGCAGAGCUGGGCCAGCCCAGGAGCCACGUGCUGGAGCCAGAUACUCUGUUUUUCUACAAAUGGAAAGUUUGUGGCAUCCUUGACUCAAGCAAAUUUUUCAGCACCAUUUUUCAAGAGCGUGUGCUCACUUCACCUCUCUGUAUCGUGUUUUGAUGCUUGUCCUGGAAACCAACCAUGAGCUGUGAUGAAAUCCAGGCAACUGAGUUGUGUUUCAGCCCAAAGCAGCAAAUGGAAUCCAGCUUCAGGACCAUCAUCUGACAUAGGGGAAGAAGACUUACAUAGAAGGCCUAACCAGCACCCAAGAUCAUAUGAGUGGUUUCGUGCAUGGCCAAUAUGAUUGUGGCUCCCAGCAACUGCGGCACAGCUACUCUCCCAUCUGGCAGUCUGAUCCAUCCUCCUUUUAUUAUUUGCCUCCCGUCUGCAUGGAAGAAGUCUUUUUCUUCUUUAGAAUAG